GUGUGGACCACCUGUACCAGAAUAACUUGAAAUAAAGCAUUUUUCCAGACCUGCUAUAUCAGAACCUCUGGCAGAUCUGGGCUCAGGAAUUUGUGGGUUUUACAAGCUUAAAGAGAGCUUUUUCUUCUUUUUAGGAGUAUUACGUGAGAAACACUUCCCGAAAUGAAAGGGGGAGGACUAUCCACACCAAUAAACCAUUUACUUCUCUUGCAUUUUUUCCUCUUUGGUCAUUUUGGAUCUGACUAAGCUCAGUAUUUAAUUAAUAAUCAUUUUUGUAACAAUAGUAUUGGUAUUUCCUCAAUCAUGAGGAAAAACACAUUAUCCGAGCCUUAUUUUUUUGCAAGUGCCUCUGGCCAAAUUUUAGUCUAUUAUAUUUGUUUGGAAUUUUUAGUAUUCUUAUGUAAGAUAUAUAUUAGAUGAAGGAAUUGAUCACAUAAAAGAAUUUUUUAAAUAUUCAUAUAGAUAGUAGCUGUUUUUCUUAAAUGUACUGUCAAGUGUUGUAAAUAUAUGAAAAGGAGAACUUUUCAUAUGCUAUUGUGGAAGAAUUUAAUUAUAUCCUAUAGUAAAGUUGAAAAUACAGUAGACUUGAACUCAAUACAUUCCUAGAUUCUCUAGAUAAACUCAGACACAUGGAAAAAGAAGAAUCUUAUUUAUGUUUUAUAAGAAAAAAAAAUUUGAAACCAGUAAAAAUACUAAGCAACAAGAGAAUGGUAAAUUAUGACACAGUCUCAUAGUGAACUAUAUAGCUAUUAAAAUUAGAGCUAUGUGUAUCAUCAUAGAUAACCUUCUCACACAAACAAAAACUACUUUAUGGAGAAGUUAUAUUCAGUAUAACAUUAUUGAUUGGUGCUAACCAACUCAGUGAGACCCUGUCUCUAAAUAAGGUGUAUUUCAAAAGAAAGGAUUAUAAAACUCACUUUUUGGUGAAAAGUAGGUAAUAGUAUCUUUUAUAUAAAAGAUUAGACGUCCAUAUGAUGCCAUGUAUAUAAGCUUUUAAGGAGCAGAAUUUGUAGUAAUAGUACAAAAACAUGCAUAGGAGAUAUAUCAAAAUUAAGUUGGGCCAGGCAUGAUGGCUCACGCCUGUAAUCCCAGCAGUUUUCAAGUUCAAAGCCAGCCUCUCAAAGACGAGGUGCUAACCAACUCGGUGAGACCCUGUUGUUAAAUAAAAUACAAAAUAGGGCUGGUGAUGUGGCUCAGUGGUAAAGG
rnacentral:lncRNA from 1 species